rnacentral:rRNA from 1 species
GCGACCCAAGGUGAGGUGGGAUUACCCGCUGAAUUUAAGCAUA